UACGGAGGGGGCUAGCGUUGUUCGGAAUUACUGGGCGUAAAGCGCACGUAGGCGGCUUUGUAAGUUAGAGGUGAAAGCCCAGGGCUUAACCCUGGAAUUGCCUUUAAGACUGCAUCGCUAGAAUCGUGGAGAGGUAAGUGGAAUUCCGAGUGUAGAGGUGAAAUUCGUAGAUAUUCGGAAGAACACCAGUGGCGGAGGCGACUUACUGGACACGUAUUGACGCUGAGGUGCGAAAGCGUGGGGAGCAAACAGG
rnacentral:rRNA from 1 species